rnacentral:rRNA from 1 species
AACGAACGCUGGCGGCAGGCUUAACACACGCAAGUCGAACGGUUGCAGCAAUGCAGCAGUGGCAGACGGGUGAGUAACACGUGGGAACCUUCCUAGGGGUACGGAACAACUCAGGGAAACUUGAGCUAAUACCGUAUACGUCCGUGAGGAGAAAGAUUUAUCGCCCUUAGACGGGCCCGCGUCGGAUUAGCUAGUUGGUGGGGUAACGGCCUACCAAGGCGACGAUCCGUAGCUGAUCUUAGAGGAUGAUCAGCCACACUGGGACUGAGACACGGCCCAGACUCCUACGGGAGGCAGCAGUGGGGAAUCUUGGACAGUGGGCGCAAGCCUGAUCCAGCCAUGCCGCGUGAGUGAAGAAGGUCUUCGGAUUGUAAAGCUCUUUUGCCAGGGACGAUAAUGACGGUACCUGGAGAAUAAGCCCCGGCAAACUUCGUGCCAGCCGCCGCAGUAAUAC